ACGCUCGACACCUACGGGAGGCAGCAGUGGGGAAUAUUGCACAAUGGAGGAAACUCUGAUGCAGCGACGCCGCGUGAGGGAAGAAGGUCUUCGGAUUGUAAACCUCUGUUGUCAGGGACGAUGAUGACGGUACCUGACGAGGAAGCCACGGCUAACUACGUGCCAGCAGACGACGGUAAUCUGAGGCGGGCGUGGACGAAGGC
rnacentral:rRNA from 1 species